UACGGAGGAGGCAAGCGUUAUCCGGAAUUAUUGGGCGUAAAGCGUCCGUAGGUGGCUAGUCAAGUCUGCGGUCAAAGACUGGGGCUUAACCCUGGAAAGGCCGUGGAAACUGCCGAGCUAGAGUGCAGUAGGGGUAGAGGGAAUUCCCGGUGUAGCGGUGAAAUGCGUAGAGCUCGGGAAGAACAUCGGUGGCGAAAGCGCUGUACUGGACUGCAACUGACGCUCAGGGACGAAAGCUAGGGGAGCGAAUGGG
rnacentral:rRNA from 1 species